GUCGGUAUCGAUUAGGGGUUAAAUCACUUCGUUGUGGUGUUAAGUCAUAAUCCGAAGAGCCGCUGGUUCGAUUCCAGCUACCGACA
rnacentral:tRNA from 1 species